rnacentral:lncRNA from 1 species
CAUUAGCAUUACCUCUUCCAAACACCCAUGUUGACCUUUCAACAAACAUAUUUUUCGCUUCUUUCUCAUUUCUAGGCCCUCUUCCUUCUUUGAAUCCCACUUUUGGAUGGAUAAUAGUUCAGGUGGGGCUGUCAUAGCUAUAUGCAGGGGUCCCAUUGUGCUAGCUGGCAGGCUUUGCACAAGAUUUUGCAGCUGAAAGAGGAAUUUGAGAAAAAUACAAGAUCCCAAUGAGUAUAAAAUAAA